rfam:Cellulomonas sp. Root930 contig_1, whole genome shotgun sequence.
ACACGGGAAGGAGGUGGUCCAGGACAUGUUCUAUUCCAGGACGCGUGAGGUGACUGUCCGCUAGUCGCCCGAAAGUACUCGGACGGAUUGCACAGACGAUCCGCCCGCAGGCCCACCCGGACCGGCGAGCGAAUCCAUGGCAGUCACCGCAGCCCGUGGGAGCCGCGACCUCGUCCUUCGCGGCAGGGCCUCUUCGGAGGCCUGGCCCACGGGCUGUUGCCU